GAGCCGUUAGCUCAGUUGGCAGAGCACCGGACUUUUAAUCCGGGUGUCGUGGGUUCGAAUCCCACACGGCUCACCA
rnacentral:tRNA from 1 species